CAGUAGCCGCGGGAAUACGGAGGGUGCAAGCGUUAAUCGGAAUCACUGGGCGUAAAGCGCACGCAGGCGGUCUGUCAAGUCAGAUGUGAAAUCCCCGGGCUUAACCUGGGAACUGCAUUUGAAACUGGCAGGCUAGAGUCUUGUAGAGGGGGGUAGAAUUCCAGGUGUAGCGGUGAAAUGCGUAGAGAUCUGGAGGAAUACCGGUGGCGAAGGCGGCCCCCUGGACAAAGACUGACGCUCAGGUGCGAAAGCGUGGGGAGCAAACAGGAUUAGAUACCCGUGUAGUCCCUGUCUCUUAUAA
rnacentral:rRNA from 1 species